rnacentral:lncRNA from 1 species
AAAAUUAUCGAUGACAGUGUUCAGGAAGUAAGGCUCAUCAUGGGAAGUCUUUCUCUUGUAAGGCUUAAUUAUUCUCUAGUUGCAGCUUCGUCCAGAGCAUCAGUAACCCUUUUCUUGACAAAGAUCACCAUCCCCAUUGUUACCUCUUUCACUGCAUAUCUCAUUUAAUAAUUGGUGUCGUCAUCUUUCUGAACAAAACCAGAAAUGAUGGUAGUCCAGGAAACUACAUUGCAGAUUGGCAUUCACAAAAAUUCCUUCACAGCUUGAUCAUUAUCCCUGCACUUAGCAUACAAAUCAAUGGUGGCAGCCCCCACAAAAGAAAGUCUUCUUUUCAGUCCCAAACCAAUCAUCCUCUGUAUUCUGGCCAUAUAGGAAGCCUUUCCGAUUGUAAAUCUCGAACAGCAUCACUCAUAACCUCCAGUUCUGAACUCUCGGGGUACAGCCUCUUCAUUAAGCAUUUGUUGUUUCCUUCCCUCACUAGAAGUUUUUCUUUUAGUGCAGAUUAAUGCCAACUGUAUGAACACCACAACAAAAUGAAUCUUCAUGACUUUGGAAUUUGAUUUUUGUUCAAAUUCACCAAUCUCAGCAGAAGUUUUACUGUAUUCUUCAAAAAUCAGAUCAGCCUUAACAGUCAGUUUUCCUUGCUCAAGUAAUCAAGCAAAAUUGCCCCACAUGAAUAGAAGAUGCCACAAGUUUAGCAGUGUCAUUCUUAUUAGCACAACUUUCUCCAACAGCUGGUGGAGUUUGAAUGUGGAAGUGAAACUAAUAUAUCAGCCCCAAACAACUUACUACCAUCUGAUACACAAGGAUUUCCAUUAUCUACUGGAUAAGGAAAGUGAUGUUUACUUAAAAGAACAUAUGAAACUGAUAAAUUACAAUUACCACCGAGUCGUACCAUAUCUGGUUGCUUUGGGACAUCCGGGCAAUUAACCUUUUUCUUCCUUGUAAACUGACAAAAGGUCUCAUCCACAUUUCCAAUUGCUUUACUAUCACAGCUAUAAGAUACUUGCUGCAACCCAGUUACAUGCUCAUCGGACAUGGUAUCAAGAUUCAAAUCAAUAUAGAAACUCUACCCCACUUUACUUUAAUAGCCCUUAGUUAGACCUUCUUUAUUCAAAUUUUCACAUUCUUGAACAGCAUCAAGAGCAUCCCCUGCUUUAUUGAGUGAUCUUGCAAUAUUUAAUGAUAUGUCCUUUUGAAUGGAUUUCAAUAUGGAGCUUAAAAAGGUGUUGAUUGCGNNNNNNNNNNNNNNNNNNNNNNNNNNNNNNNNNNNNNNNNNNNNNNNNNNNNNNNNNNNNNNNNNNNNNNNNNNNNNNNNNNNNNNNNNNNNNNNNNNNNUUUGCUUGGAGAUCAUCAACAAAAGGACAAUCAAGGUAAAGUGAGCCAUCUGAUUCGUAUUCAUGUUGGUCAGAUGCUAACUUGCUGGUGUAUUCUUUCAAGCUAAGCGAGCUUGUUGGUGUGUUCUAUUGAACCGGGCGACGCUAUAUUUACUCUCAAAUUUAGAUCUUUUAACCUGAGUUCAGAAUUAGUAGCGUCAUUGGAAAGAGUAGAAGGCGACUCAUCAUCAACUGAAAAUAGUAGGGAAUGCAGACAGGAGGAAUUCCAUAGAACCUGAAGAAACCUUUCUCUAGGUUGACCCAACAAGUUGACAGGGAUAUCUCGAAUGUGUUCCUCCUUUUAAGACAUAUUCUUUAUGAGAAAACAGGCGUGAGCAGAAAGAGUAGAUUCUCUGAUCUCAACUUCAUUUCCGAUAUCAGAUAUUCGAUCCUCCAGUCAUGGUACUGUUGUUUCAACAAUUCACAAGCAAAUAACAAUACGCUAUGACACUUCAAUUGUCGAAUAACCAGUAGAUUUGCCUGAUAUUUUAUCAAUGGUGGAAUCAGGUUCCUUCUCAUGGGCAUCAGAAGCCAACUUGUUUUCUGCAACUGGUGGGAUGAACAAAGAAGCAUGCUCUCAGGUUGAGUCAGGUACAAAUCCUACUGCAUUUCCUUCCAUAGUUUCAGAAGAAAAUCUAGAAUGGGACUUUUAUACUUUGUCAACUGGUCCAUUUCAAAUGAUUCCCUUCAGAACCUUGCUUUCUCUGUUCUGUCUCCUUUUCUGUUCCGACUCAAAAUUUCAACUGUACGAUGGUGUGAUGCAUUUGAUUCUCAUCUGAAGGAAAGAAAAGAAUUUGUAUGUGAUUCUAUUCAUUUAUCAAGAACAAGCUGAUGGUCAAUCCUGAAACCCAACCAUUUUCAGAUAAUUCAAACUCUACUACAAGUUGAUCGUUCCCUUUUUCGAUUGGAAGUUAUCCUCAGAUACCUUUCAUUUUCAUGAGUAGUUUAUGCACCAAAAUUAUCGAUGACAGUGUUCAGGAAGUAAGGCUCAUCAUGGGAAGUCUUUCUCUUGUAAGGCUUAAUUAUUCUCUAGUUGCAGCUUCGUCCAGAGCAUCAGUAACCCUUUUCUUGACAAAGAUCACCAUCCCCAUUGUUACCUCUUUCACUGCAUAUCUCAUUUAAUAAUUGGUGUCGUCAUCUUUCUGAACAAAACCAGAAAUGAUGGUAGUCCAGGAAACUACAUUGCAGAUUGGCAUUCACAAAAAUUCCUUCACAGCUUGAUCA